UACAGAGGUCUCAAGCGUUGUUCGGAUUCAUUGGGCGUAAAGGGUGCGUAGGUGGCGCCGUAAGUCAGGUGUGAAAUUUCGGAGCUUAACUCCGAAACUGCAUUUGAUACUGCGGUGCUUGAGGACUGGAGAGGAGACUGGAAUUCAUGGUGUAGCAGUGAAAUGCGUAGAGAUCAUGAGGAAGACCAGUGGCGAAGGCGGGUCUCUGGACAGUUCCUGACACUGAGACACGAAGGCCAGGGGAGCAAACAGG
rnacentral:rRNA from 1 species